UACCUGCAGCUCAAGUGGUGAUCGUUAUUAUUGGGCCUAAAACGUUCGUAGCCGGUUUAAUAGAUGCCUGGGUAAAUCGUGCCGCUCAACGGUACGAAUUCCGGGUAGACUGUUAAACUUGAGACCGGGAGAGGCUAGAGGUACUCCUGGGGUAGGGGUGAAAUUCUGUAAUCCUAGGGGGACCACCAGUGGCGAAGGCGUCUAGCUAGAACGGGUUUGACUGUGAGGGACGAAGCCCUGGGGCGCAAACCGGAUUAGAUACCCGGGUAGUCCAGGGUGUAAACGCUGCUUGCUUGAUGUUAGUCGGGCUCCGAGCCCGAUUAGUGUCGGAGAGAAGUUGUUAAGCAAGCUGCCUGGGAAGUACGGUCGCAAGACUGAAACUUAAAGGAAUUGGCGGGGAGCACAGCAACGGGUGGAGCGUGCGGUUU
rnacentral:rRNA from 1 species